UUUUAUCUCAUUGUCACCAUUGUGUCUUCUUAAUGAUUAAUAUGACCACUGUCAACAAAUGACUGUGAUAAAUUACUCGUUCAAGAAUAAGCAACCCAUGGCCAAGUUCCAUAUUUAUCAAUCCACACAAUGUCAAUGAGAGGAUAUCAUUAACUCUUUAAUUGAGCUAUGAAUUCCACUAUUGCUAGUAAAGCCAUACCAUACACAAGUCAUGUACCCAACAUGCCGG
rnacentral:lncRNA from 1 species